GUUAUAUAUAUAUAUACAGAUACAUGCAUCAUUCUCUUGACUUGCAAGGAAAUAAUGCAUCUAUUAUAAAUCUACAAAAUUUACGAUUUAAAUUUAAAGGUUAAUUUAAAGAAAUAUUUUUGUCGUCUCUAAUAAGUACGCGUGUAACGAGAUUUAUGUAUUAAAAGUUUAAUUAUGAAAAACAA